AGCAGCCGCGGUAAUUCCAGCUCCAAUAGCGUAUAUUAAAGUUGUUGCAGUUAAAAAGCUCGUAGUUGAAUUUUGGAUUCUUCCAAUUGGUCCAUCUUUUAGAUGAGUACUGGUUGUGUGGGGUCUAUCCGCCUGGUGAUACGUAAUGUCCUUUAUUGGGUGUUGCGGGUAGUCAGGACCUUUACCUUGAAAAAAUUAGAGUGUUUAAAGCAGGCUUAUGCCGGAAUACAUUAGCAUGGAAUAAUAGAAUAGGACGAAGUUGUUUUAUUUUGUUGGUUUCUAGGACAACCGUAAUGAUUAAUAGGGAUAGUUGGGGGCAUUAGUAUUCAAUUGUCAGAGGUGAAAUUCUUGGAUUUAUUGAAGACUAACUACUGCGAAAGCAUUUGCCAAGGAUGUUUUCAUUAAUCAAGAACGAAAGUUAGGGGAUCGAAGACGAUCAGAUACCGUCGUAGUCUUAACCAUAAACUAUGCCGACUAGGGAUCGGGCGAUGUUGUUUCCAUGACUCGCUCGGCACCUUAU
rnacentral:sRNA from 1 species